rfam:Marinobacterium stanieri strain DSM 7027 genome assembly, contig: Ga0111666_107
GAGGCUUAAGAGUAACACAAGCAUUUAUGCACCAUUUCGACGUCCUACCUUGUAGUAAGUACCUCGUUCUGAACCAUAAGUACCAACAUUACCUAAGCACGACCCAACCCUGACGGCAUUUUGCCAAGGGUUAAAAUUUUUACUCAGAUCGAGAGAUUUAUUAUGUCUACUACUACUGGCACAGUUAAAUGGUUCAACGAAACUAAAGGUUUUGGUUUCAUCGCUCAGGAAAAUGGUCCUGACGUAUUCGCUCACUUCAGCGCCAUCCAGGGCAGCGGUUUCAAAACUCUGGAAGAAGGCCAGAAGGUUGAGUUCACAGUGACUCAGGGCCAGAAAGGUCCUCAGGCUGAGAACAUCGUCGCUAUCUGAUUCUGAUCAGAAGCUGACAAGAAGACGACCCCUCGGGGUCGUUUUUUUUU